rnacentral:rRNA from 1 species
AUUGAACGCUGGCGGCAGGCUUAACACAUGCAAGUCGAGCGGAGAGAGGUAGCUUGCUACUGAUCUUAGCGGCGGACGGGUGAGUAAUGCUUAGGAAUCUGCCUAUUAGUGGGGGACAACAUUUCGAAAGGAAUGCUAAUACCGCAUACGUCCUACGGGAGAAAGCAGGGGAUCUUCGGACCUUGCGCUAAUAGAUGAGCCUAAGUCGGAUUAGCUAGUUGGUGGGGUAAAGGCCUACCAAGGCGACGAUCCGUAGCUGGUCUGAGAGGAUGAUCAGCCACACUGGGACUGAGACACGGCCCAGACUCCUACGGGAGGCAGCAGUGGGGAAUAUUGGACAAUGGGCGGAAGCCUGAUCCAGUCAUGCCGCGUGUGUGAAGAAGGCCUUUUGGUUGUAAAGCACUUUAAGCGAGGAGGAGGCUACCUGGAUUAAUACUCUAGGAUAGUGGACGUUACUCGCAGAAUAAGCACCGGCUAACUCUGUGCCAGCCGCCGCAGUAAUAC